GGCAGCGCACACUUCAGUCCUCUGGGAUGAGUGGAGGUGACUUGAUUGGCUCACAGAAGUCUGAAGGUGUCAAUUAGAAAUGAGGAAAGGUCAAGUCAACUGCUCUACAUUAUCUUGUUGCUGUCGUCCGUCAUCCAGACUCCCUGAGCAUCCUCCACUCAGGAACUCAAAGCCCUUUGGAAGCCACCAUCUUUGUUGAAGCAAAAAUUGUCCCAGGUAAGCAUGGUAGAUUAAAUCUAGCCUGUUCUUCCGC
rnacentral:lncRNA from 1 species